GACGAACGCUGGCGGCGUGCUUAACACAUGCAAGUCGAACGGAGCCCUGCGGAACGGAGAUUCGUUGAAGGGAAGCAGGCGCUUAGUGGCGGACGGGUGAGUAACGCGUGAGGAACCUGCCUUUCAGAGGGGGACAACAGAGGGAAACUUCUGCUAAUACCGCAUAACGUGCGGAGGCCGCAUGGUCUCUGCACCAAAGAUUUAUCGCUGAAAGAUGGCCUCGCGUCUGAUUAGCUGGUUGGUGAGGUAACGGCCCACCAAGGCGACGAUCAGUAGCCGGACUGAGAGGUUGACCGGCCACAUUGGGACUGAGAUACGGCCCAGACUCCUACGGGAGGCAGCAGUGGGGAAUAUUGGGCAAUGGGCGCAAGCCUGACCCAGCAACGCCGCGUGAAGGAAGAAGGCUUUCGGGUUGUAAACUUCUUUGACAGGGGACGAAAGAAAUGACGGUACCCUGAAAACAAGCCACGGCUAACUACGUG
rnacentral:rRNA from 2 species